rnacentral:rRNA from 1 species
AUUGACUGCUGGCGGCCGGCCUUACACAUGCAAGUAGAGCGGAGCGGCGGACGGCUGAGUAAUGCCUAGGAAUCUGCCUGGUAGUCGGGGACAACGUUCGGAAACGGGCGCUAAUACCGCCUACUAUCCGUUGAGCCUAGGUCGGAUUAGCUAGUUGGUGGGGUAAAGGCCUACCAGGGCGACGAUCCGUAACUGGUCUGAGAGGAUGAUCAGGCACACUGUAACUGGGACGCGGUCCAGGCUCCAUCGGUAGGCAAGAUUGGGAGAUAUUGGACAGUGGGCGACAGCCUGGUCCAGGCAUGCGGCGUGAGAUAAGGAGGUCUUCGAAUUAUGAAGCACUUUAAAUUGGGAGGCGGUACGAACAGAAUAGGCACAGGCUAGCGUCGUGCCAGCAGCCGCGGUAAUAC